rnacentral:lncRNA from 1 species
UUAUGGAAGGUUAGAAAUAAAAUAAGAAACAUAUAAUAAAAUUUUCAGAAUUUUAAGAUCAAUAAAAGUAUUUUUAAACCAAUUAAAGCAAAGGAGAAAAGAUAAAAAUCAAGAAAAAUAGAAAAUAUGUGAACUAAAAUAUGGAAAAAUAAAAAUCAGAUGAAGAAAAAUAAAAGAGAAUUUUAGAAAUUAUUAUGGGAUUUUUUGGAUAAAAAAUGAAAUUACUAUAAAUUUUUAAAGAAAAAGCAAUAAAAAAUAAGAAAAGAAAAAUAGUUAAAAUCAUAAAAAACACGGAGCGUUGGAUCAUACUGUAAGACCCCAAUUUUGACCCUAAGAUCCCUCAUGCAAUUUCAUCAUAUGCAUUAGCAUUGGGAUCGUACCUUGGCA